rnacentral:rRNA from 1 species
UACAGAGGGUGCGAGCGUUAAUCGGAAUUACUGGGCGUAAAGCGUGCGUAGACGGUUAUCUAAGUCGGAUGUGAAAGCCCCGGGCUCAACCUGGGAAUUGCAUUCGAGACUGAAUAGCUAGGGUACGGUAGAGGGAAGUGGAAUUUCCGGUGUAGCGGUGAAAUGCGUAGAUAUCGGAAGGAACAUCAGUGGCGAAAGCGCUCUGCUAGGCCGCAACUGACACUGAGGGACGAAAGCUAGGGGAGCGAAUGGG